rnacentral:rRNA from 1 species
GACGAACGCUGGCGGCGUGCCUAAUACAUGCAAGUCGAACGAACCGCGACUAGGUGCUUGCACUUGGUCAAGGUGAGUGGCGAACGGGUGAGUAACACGUGGGUAACCUACCUCAUAGUGGGGGAUAACAGUCGGAAACGACUGCUAAUACCGCAUAGGACAUAGGAUCACAUGAUCCAGUGAGGAAAGGUGGCGCCAGCUAUCGCUACGAGAUGGAUCCGCGGUGCUUUAGUUAGUUGGUAGGGUAAAGGCCUACCAAGGCGAUGAUGCAUAGCCGACCUGAGAGGGUGAUCGGCCAAAUUGGGACUGAGACACGGCCCAAACUCCUACGGGAGGCAGCAGUAGGGAAUCUUCCGCAAUGGACGCAAGUCUGACGGAGCAACGCCGCGUGAGUGAAGAAGGUCUUCGGAUCGUAAAGCUCUGUUGUUAGAGAAGAACAGCGCAUAGAGUAACUGUUAUGCGUGUGACGGUAUCUAACCAGAAAGCCACGGCUAACUACGUG